ACAGAGGGUGCUAGCGUUGUUCGGAAUCAUUGGGCGUAAAGGGCGCGUAGGCGGGAUGGCAAGUCAGUCGUGAAAUCUCUCGGCUCAACCGAGAAACGUCGGCUGAUACUGCCGUUCUUGAGGGAUGCAGAGGAGACUGGAAUUCCCGGUGUAGCGGUGAAAUGUGUAGAGAUCGGGAGGAACACCAGUGGCGAAGGCGACUUACUGGACGAUUGUUGACGCUGAGGUGCGAAAGCGUGGGGAGCAAACAGGA
rnacentral:rRNA from 1 species